rnacentral:lncRNA from 1 species
CCAAAUUAUAAUAACAUAUGUUAUAAAAUUAGGUCCCUAUACAUGCCACUCACUUGAUAAUUCUAGCAUAUGUGUUUAUACUGUCAAGGUGUUGGCUUGAUGUGUGAUGCUGCCUCCGACUGUAACACCUCCUAACCCCAAACUGUUACCAGAACGAGGUUAUGAGGCAUUACCGGACGUAUCGAACGAUUUACAACAAUUCUUAAAUAAAUAACCAAUAUAUUAAAAUAAUUCAUAAAAUUUAUUAGUUUGUUUACCAAAUGACUUCAUUUUUUUUUUUUAAUAAAAAUUUCGGCAGCAUUUCUGCUUACUUUUACAUAAAAUCCUCUGCAAAUUAAAACCAUAUAGUUCCCAAAUAUCAUCAAUUCAACCAAUUCAUUUCACAUUCACAUUUUCUAUUCUAAAUACUUCUAAUCAAACUCAAUCUACACAAUAUCAAUUUAAAAUUUAACAAUGUACUAAUUAGAUAAAAUAGAUAGACUUCUUUCAUUAAAAUCCAUAAACUUUUAAUACUAACAUUUUUAACCAUUAUAUAUUAAAACAUAAUAACCUUUAUACACAAUCUAUGUACAUGCCACCUUUACCAAAGGAAAAAUACAUCACCAAGUUUUGCCGAAGCCGGGAUUAAUCUGGAUGCUGAACCGGGACCUUUGACUUCUAUUGACCUGCGCACGGAAACAACCGUACGCUGAGUAAUUCAUACUCAGUGGUAUUACCAUAAUUCAAAUUAUAACAAUAAUGUACAUGUAAAGCAUAAAUCGUAUAUACAAUUUAAAUUAAAUAUUUCAACAAUAGCAAUUCAUCAACCAAUAUCGUAUAUCCACAAUUUGAGUUUGAAUAAUUCACGAACCUUAGGUUCAUUUCUCAAUCUCAUUUCACAUUUCAAUUCACAAUUCAACUUUUUCAUAUCAUUUCAAUAGCUCGUUUGACCAACUCGUUCGGUUUAUCAUUUCAUCAUUUACCCUAUUAACAAAACUCGGACUUUGGCGGAUACACGGAUCCAACCAAACACACCAGAAUGGCACCCAGUGCCUCAUCGGAUAGUUCGAAGCAAUAGUUGACACCCAGUGUCUCAUCGGCAAAGCCGAAGAAAGUUGGUACCCAGUACCUCAUCGAAUCUAUCCGAAGAAAUAUAGUGACACCCAGUGUCUCAUCGACUCGAGGUCGAAGUAUCCCUGAACUCUUCCAAUCCUAUGGCAUGCCAACUAUAUCCGACUCAGCCCGACUAGUUAAUAGGGUAUUUAAAUCACAUAUAUUCUCAAUUCAAUCACACUUUUUCACACUUUCAAUUCAAUCAUUUUUCCACCUUUCAAUCAAUAAUUAAUCCGCAAUUAACAUACUUUCACAACUCAAUACAUUUCCAUUCAAUUUAAUAUCGGUCACUAUUCGAUUUAAAUUCAUUUCCCGCUUUCAAUCAACAAACAAUUCAAAUAUUAUUUCAUAUCAACUAUUCAAUUUAAUUCCCACUCAUAAUAAUAAUACUAAUAAUAAUACUAAUACUAAUAUUAAUACUUACCUCACAUUUCAUUUACUAGACACAUAAAUUAAAAUUUAACAUAAAAAAAAUAAAUAAUUUGAAUUAUAGUAAUACAAACCGUAAUUUUCUCGAGUUUACUCCUCGAUAAUCUUCUCUUUUCCCUUCCGUGCCGACGCUUCUGGUUCUUUGCUAGCUACGAAAAUGAUAAUAAUUUAUACUAUUAAUUUCAGCACUAAUUAUGAUAAUAAUUAAAUUUCUAUUCAAUUUCUUCCUUAUUCUCAAUUUAAUCCUAACUAAAUUCACUUACUUUCCUAAUUCAAUUCACACUCUAUUUCUAUUCAAAUUUCAUCCAAACUAAAAUUUAACUAUCAAAAUUUCAGCAUAUUUUGGUAAUUUCGAAUUUCCCUCAAUUUAGUCCCUAAAACAUAAAACUUAUAGUUUCUUUUACAAUUUAAUCCCUUUUUCAAUUCUAACUUAAAAUUCCUUCAAGUUAAUCCCUAAUUCAUCUCUUUUGUUCAACAUAAACUAUACUUGAAAACCUAUGAACUUACAAAAUAUCAACUUAAUUCCAUCAAAACUUUGUUUUAAAGCUUUUAAAACAUUAGAAUUAAGAGAAAAGGGCUAAUUUGACUUACCAAUUUAAAUUUCAAGCUUCAAAAACCCUAUUUUCCCUUUUUUCUUCUUUUUCUUCUUUCUCCCCUGCUUCUCCCCUGUUUCGUCUCUUCUAUUCUGUUUCUUUGUUCUUUCUAUUCUGUUUCUUUUCUGUUUUGUUUCUUUUAUAUAUAAUAAUAUAAUAUUUAUAAUGUAAUUAAUUUAAUAAUAUACUUUAUAAUUAAUUUAUAUAUUUAUAUAAAUAAUAAUAUAAAAAUCUAAGAUUUUUACAAUGUUAUGCCGCCUCAACUUCCAAAUGUGGCUUAAUUGCCCAUUUGGUCCCUGUUAUUUUCCUUUAAUCUAUAAUUAAACUUUUACUCUUAUUCAAUUUAAUCCUUUUUACUAAUUACUCUAAAUUAAGCUAAAUUUACUUAAUUAAAACCUAAUUAAACACACUACUAGUCUCGUAAAUAUUUCUAAUAAUUAUUUUCGGACUCAAUUUACUAGGACGGAGGCCCGAUAUUAUACUUUUCCGAUGCCCAUGAAUUUUGGGUCAUUACAUUUCUCCCCCUCUUAAUAAAUUUCGUCCUCGAAAUUUACCUGAGAAGAGAUGAGGAUAUUGUGCUCUCAUUGUCUCUUCCGGCUCCCAAGUUGCUUCUUCCACACUAUGGCUUCUCCAUAAAACUUUUACUAAAGGAACCCGUUUAUUUCUUAAUUCUUUCACUUCUCGUGCUAAUAUUUGAACUGGUUCUUCUUCAUAAGUUAAAUCAGAUCGAAGUUCAAUGUCUUCAGUGGGAAUAACAUGAGAAGGAUCCGAUCUAUAUCUCCGAAGCAUCGAAACAUGAAAAACAUCAUGAAUUUUCUGUAACUCUGGAGGUAAGGAUAAUCGAUAAGCAACAGGCCCAAUUCUUUCCACUAUCUCAUACGGCCCAAUAAAGCGCGGACUUAAUUUUCCCUUCCGACCAAAUCUCAAAAUUUUCUUCCACGGUGAUACUUUGAGGAAUACCUUAUCACCAACGGAAUAUUCAAUGUCUAAUCGUUUCAAGUCUGCGUAAGAUUUCUGUCUGUCGAAAGCGGCUUUCAGUCUAUCUUUAAUCUUUUUAACUGUUUCUUCUGUCUCUUGAAUCAAUUCCGGCCCAAUCACUUUUCUUUCUCUUAAUUCUGUCCAACAUAUUGGUGAUCGACACCUUCGACCAUAAAGUGCUUCAUAUGGAGCCAUUUGAAUACUAGAUUGGAAACUAUUAUUAUAAACAAACUCGGCCAAUGGUAAAUAACGUUCCCAACCUGAUUCAAAAUCAAUGACACAAGCUCGAAGCAUAUCUUCUAAUAUCUGAAUUACUCGUUCAGAUUGUCCAUCAGUUUGAGGAUGAAAAGCUGUACUGAAACUAAGUCGAGUACCCAAUGAUUCAUGCAGCUGCUUCCAAAAUCUCGAAGUGAAUCGAGGAUCUCUGUCUGAAAUUAUUGAUACCGGAAUACCAUGUAAUCUAACAAUUUCUCGAAUAUAAACCUCGGCAAGCUUCUGUAAUGACCAGUCGGUUCUAACUGCUAUAAAAUGAGCUGAUUUUGUGAGUCGAUCAACAAUCACCCAAAUAACAUUCUUUUUACUCACUGAUAAUGGCAACCCCGUAACAAAAUCCAUGGUAAUGCGAUCCCAUUUCCACUCGGGAAUAGUAAUAGGCUGUAACAGGCCUGUUGGUACCUGAUGUUCUGCUUUUACCUGCUGACAAGUCAAGCAUUUACUGACAUAUUCAACUAUAUCUUUCUUCAUUCCUGGCCACCAAUACAGUUCUCGUAGAUCACGAUACAUCUUCGUUCCUCCUGGGUGCAAAGCAAAAAUACUAUCAUGUGCUUCUCGGAGAAUCAAUUCUUUAAUCUCAGAAGUAGAUGGAACACAAAUUCGAUUCCGAAAUCUCAAACAAUCAUGCUCGUCAAUACUAAAAUUUUCUACCGCACCAUACUGUACCAUUUCUAUUUUCCUCAUCAACUUUUCAUCUUUUAACUGUGCUGCUCUGAUUUGAUCAAACCUCACCGGCUUGACUCUUAACUCAGCUAACAAACUUCCAUCAUCCUUAAUACUAAGUCGAGCGAACAUUGCUCGUAAUUCAAUCGCUGCUUUUCUACUCAAUGCAUCUGCUACCACAUUUGCCUUCCCUGGAUGAUAAUCUAUAACACAAUCAUAAUCUUUCAGAAGUUCAAUCCACCGUCUCUGUCUCAGAUUCAACUCCUUUUGUGACAGAAGAUAUUUAAGACUUUUAUGAUCAGUGUAAAUAUAACAUUUCUCACCAUACAAGUAAUGUCUCCAAAUCUUCAAUGCAAAUAUUACAGCAGCUAACUCUAAAUCGUGUGUCGGGUAGUUGCGUUCAUGUGACUUCAACUGUCGAGAUGCAUAAGCUAUUACUUUUCCUUCUUGCAUCAAUACACAACCCAAACCAUUCAAAGAAGCAUCACUGUACACUAUGAAAUCUUUCCCUGAUUCUGGUAAAGUUAAAACUGGUGCCUCUGUCAACAUCUGUUUCAAUGUUUCAAAGCUCCUCUGACACUGAUCAUCCCAGAUAAAUGGAACAUUCUUCUGUAGUAAUUUGGUCAUCGGCAAAGCUAUCUUCGAAAACCCAUUUACAAAUCUUCUGUAAUACCCAGCCAAACCAAGAAAACUGCGUACCUCUGAUACAUUCUUUGGUGCCUUCCAUUGAACAAUUGCCUCGAUCUUCUUCGGAUCAACUCUAAUCCCAUCCGCAGAUACAACAUGUCCCAAGAAUACUACCUCUGAUAACCAGAAUUCACAUUUACUUAGUUUCCCGUACAACUGUUUUUCUCGCAGAAUCUGUAGCACGGUUCUGAGAUGCUGAUCAUGCUCUGACUCUGACUUCGAAUAAACCAAGAUGUCAUCAAUAAAAACCACCACAAACUAAUCUAAAUACGGCUGAAAAAUACGAUUCAUCAGAUCCAUAAAAGCAGCUGGAGCAUUAGUCAACCCGAACGGCAUCACCAAAAAUUCAUAAUGACCAUAUCGAGUACGAAAUGCAGUCUUCGGAACAUCACUUUCUUUUACCUUCAGCUGAUAAUACCCAGAUCUUAAGUCAAUCUUUGAAAAUACUGAAGCUCCUUUUAGCUGAUCAAAAAAAUCAUCUAUACGGGGUAACGGAUACCGGUUCUUGAUCGUCACUUUGUUUAACUGCCGGUAAUCAAUACAAAGCCGCAUCGAUCCAUCUUUCUUUUUAACAAACAAUACUGGAGCUCCCCAAGGUGAAAUGCUCGGUCUAAUAAAUCCACGAUCUGACAAGUCCUGUAACUGCACUUUCAACUCUUUCAACUCAGUGGGUGACAUUCGAUACGGUGGUAUAGAGAUUGGUGCUGUACCCGGAUACACUUCUAUAGCAAAUUCAACCUCUCUGUCAGGUGGUAAACCCGGUAGCUCUUCAGGAAAUACAUCUGGAAACUCACAUACGGUUCUAAUCUUACUGCACUGACUACCAACCAAAUCAGAAUUAAUAACAUAGGCUAAAUACGCUGUACAACCCCGCUGAAGCAAUUUAUUAGCCUUUAUUGCCGAAAUAAUACGUGUCGGCCCAUUAGUACGGAUACCAUUUACCUCAAUUCUGUCCCCGUCUUCUGUCUGAAUACUAAACUUCUUUUUAUAACAAUCCAAUACCACUCCGUGCUCAGCCAACCAAUCCAUCCCCAGUAUUAUAUCAAAAUCUCCAAAUGGCAUAAUCAACAGGUCAAUAGGAAAAGUUUUAUUUUGUAUAAUUAACGGGCAUCUCGGACAGAUCUGAUUCACUAAUACUGUUUGCCCCAACGGACUCGACACUUCUACAGUCACUCUAGAUAUUUCAGAAUUAAAUUUUCCCAAUUCAACUAAUUUUGAAUUUAUAUAAGAAUGUGAAGAUCCGGGAUCAAUUAAAGCAUAAACAGGCUCAGAAUAUAGUAAGAAUAUACCUGUUACUACAUCGUGGGCGUCACCUUCUUCCCGUGUUCUGACCACAUAAGCUCUGGCAGGUACUUUAGCCUCAGACUGCUGAGUAGCAAUAUCAUUGCUUCUCCUAAUACUUCCUCCCCUUGAAACCGAACCACCUCUUCCUAACCCUCUGCUUCUAGCUGUAGAUACCGAUCUCUGUGAUGUCACGGGUACAGUACUAUCAACUUUCGGACAGUCUCUGAUGAAAUGGUCUGUAGAACCACAUCGAAAACAGCCUCUAGUUAAUUUCCAACAUUCCCCUCUGUGUUUCUUUCCGCAGUGUUGGCAGUCUGGAAUAUCUAUUUCUCGGGAAGGACCUCUCACACUGCCAGUAGAUGUCAUCGUCUGUUUUCCCCUACUUCUACCACCUCUGUCUGACCUGAAACUGGAUCUCCAACCACUUUGGAAUUCCUUUGGUCUUUUCGGCUGAGGAUUCGAACUGGUAGUUCCUGUACGCUUCCCGGUUGGUCUAACAACUUCAGUCUUUUUGUCGAGGCCCAGAACUUGUUCCACCAUUUUAGCUCGUUCAAUCAAAUCUACUAACUCAGUGAUCCGAUGGGAUACUAGCUGCACUUUGAUCUCGUCUCGUAAACCCCGUAAAAAUCUUUUACAACUAUCGGCUUCUGUCGGAAUAAACUCGGAGGCAUAUCUACUGAGUCUCGAGAAUUCCCUCUCAUAAUCUAUUACUGACAUAUCAUCCUGUUGUAGCAACAAAAACUCUUGUUUCUUGUCUUCAAUAUACAUCUCUCCGAUAUAUUUCUUUUGAAACUCCUUCUGAAAUAGAUCCCACGUUAUCUGACUCUCUGGUAAAUGUCGAACCACUGAUUCCCACCAUAGAUAAGCCUCCCCUUGUAAUAACGAUACGGCACAGAUUAAACACUCUCGGGGGGUACAAUCCAAUUGCUGCAAAAUUCUUUUAGUCGACUCCAUCCAAUUUUCAGCUAUGGAUGGAUCAACUCCUUUUAGACCCAUAAAUUCAGUGGCACCAUAUUUCCUCAGUUCCUUUAUCGGAGCCCGUCUAACAGUAGGUACUGAAGUCGUAACAGGAGUAGUUCCUGCUACUCUUUGUAAUGCAUCAGCUAUAAUUCUCAGUAAUUGGGAUUCAUCUCUAUCUCUGACAUUUUCUCGUUCUACAUUAGAAGGUUGGUUGCCUAACGGAUUCACACUCGGUGCAACAGAUUCUGUUUCAUCUAAUUCUCUAUCUUCACUAUACAUUCUUUCAUCAGUAUCAUUUAUUCUUUCUUCAGACAUCUUUAAUCUAUAAAACAAAACAAACAAAUAGGUCAGCAUCCAAAAAAUCCCGACUCAGUUUAACUCGAUAGUGGCAUGUACAUCUAGACUCAAUUCCGAGCUCGAUUUAGGCCGAGAAUCGGCUAAACCUGAUAGCUCUGAUACCAAUAAUUGUAACACCUCCUAACCCCAAACUGUUACCAGAACGAGGUUAUGAGGCAUUACCGGACGUAUCGAACGAUUUACAACAAUUCUUAAAUAAAUAACCAAUAUAUUAAAAUAAUUCAUAAAAUUUAUUAGUUUGUUUACCAAAUGACUUCAUUUUUUUUUUAAUAAAAAUUUCGGCAGCAUUUCUGCUUACUUUUACAUAAAAUCCUCUGCAAAUUAAAACCAUAUAGUUCCCAAAUAUCAUCAAUUCAACCAAUUCAUUUCACAUUCACAUUUUCUAUUCUAAAUACUUCUAAUCAAACUCAAUCUACACAAUAUCAAUUUAAAAUUUAACAAUGUACUAAUUAGAUAAAAUAGAUAGACUUCUUUCAUUAAAAUCCAUAAACUUUUAAUACUAACAUUUUUAACCAUUAUAUAUUAAAACAUAAUAACCUUUAUACACAAUCUAUGUACAUGCCACCUUUACCAAAGGAAAAAUACAUCACCAAGUUUUGCCGAAGCCGGGAUUAAUCUGGAUGCUGAACCGGGACCUUUGACUUCUAUUGACCUGCGCACGGAAACAACCGUACGCUGAGUAAUUCAUACUCAGUGGUAUUACCAUAAUUCAAAUUAUAACAAUAAUGUACAUGUAAAGCAUAAAUCGUAUAUACAAUUUAAAUUAAAUAUUUCAACAAUAGCAAUUCAUCAACCAAUAUCGUAUAUCCACAAUUUGAGUUUGAAUAAUUCACGAACCUUAGGUUCAUUUCUCAAUCUCAUUUCACAUUUCAAUUCACAAUUCAACUUUUUCAUAUCAUUUCAAUAGCUCGUUUGACCAACUCGUUCGGUUUAUCAUUUCAUCAUUUACCCUAUUAACAAAACUCGGACUUUGGCGGAUACACGGAUCCAACCAAACACACCAGAAUGGCACCCAGUGCCUCAUCGGAUAGUUCGAAGCAAUAGUUGACACCCAGUGUCUCAUCGGCAAAGCCGAAGAAAGUUGGUACCCAGUACCUCAUCGAAUCUAUCCGAAGAAAUAUAGUGACACCCAGUGUCCCAUCGACUCGAGGUCGAAGUAUCCCUGAACUCUUCCAAUCCUAUGGCAUGCCAACUAUAUCCGACUCAGCCCGACUAGUUAAUAGGGUAUUUAAAUCACAUAUAUUCUCAAUUCAAUCACACUUUUUCACACUUUCAAUUCAAUCAUUUUUCCACCUUUCAAUCAAUAAUUAAUCCGCAAUUAACAUACUUUCACAACUCAAUACAUUUCCAUUCAAUUUAAUAUCGGUCACUAUUCGAUUUAAAUUCAUUUCCCGCUUUCAAUCAACAAACAAUUCAAAUAUUAUUUCAUAUCAACUAUUCAAUUUAAUUCCCACUCAUAAUAAUAAUACUAAUAAUAAUACUAAUACUAAUAUUAAUACUUACCUCACAUUUCAUUUACUAGACACAUAAAUUAAAAUUUAACAUAAAAAAAAUAAAUAAUUUGAAUUAUAGUAAUACAAACCGUAAUUUUCUCGAGUUUACUCCUCGAUAAUCUUCUCUUUUCCCUUCCGUGCCGACGCUUCUGGUUCUUUGCUAGCUACGAAAAUGAUAAUAAUUUAUACUAUUAAUUUCAGCACUAAUUAUGAUAAUAAUUAAAUUUCUAUUCAAUUUCUUCCUUAUUCUCAAUUUAAUCCUAACUAAAUUCACUUACUUUCCUAAUUCAAUUCACACUCUAUUUCUAUUCAAAUUUCAUCCAAACUAAAAUUUAACUAUCAAAAUUUCAGCAUAUUUUGGUAAUUUCGAAUUUCCCUCAAUUUAGUCCCUAAAACAUAAAACUUAUAGUUUCUUUUACAAUUUAAUCCCUUUUUCAAUUCUAACUUAAAAUUCCUUCAAGUUAAUCCCUAAUUCAUCUCUUUUGUUCAACAUAAACUAUACUUGAAAACCUAUGAACUUACAAAAUAUCAACUUAAUUCCAUCAAAACUUUGUUUUAAAGCUUUUAAAACAUUAGAAUUAAGAGAAAAGGGCUAAUUUGACUUACCAAUUUAAAUUUCAAGCUUCAAAAACCCUAUUUUCCCUUUUUUCUUCUUUUUCUUCUUUCUCCCCUGCUUCUCCCCUGUUUCGUCUCUUCUAUUCUGUUUCUUUGUUCUUUCUAUUCUGUUUCUUUUCUGUUUUGUUUCUUUUAUAUAUAAUAAUAUAAUAUUUAUAAUGUAAUUAAUUUAAUAAUAUACUUUAUAAUUAAUUUAUAUAUUUAUAUAAAUAAUAAUAUAAAAAUCUAAGAUUUUUACAAUGUUAUGCCGCCUCAACUUCCAAAUGUGGCUUAAUUGCCCAUUUGGUCCCUGUUAUUUUCCUUUAAUCUAUAAUUAAACUUUUACUCUUAUUCAAUUUAAUCCUUUUUACUAAUUACUCUAAAUUAAGCUAAAUUUACUUAAUUAAAACCUAAUUAAACACACUACUAGUCUCGUAAAUAUUUCUAAUAAUUAUUUUCGGACUCAAUUUACUAGGACGGAGGCCCGAUAUUAUACUUUUCCGAUGCCCAUGAAUUUUGGGUCAUUACACCGACGAUCUCCAACCCUGAGCUAACUUGACAACAUUAAAAGAAAUGGAAAGGAGGGGGUAAGCUUUACGCUUAGUAAGCUCGCAUGAAAUAAUAAUAAGCAAUUUACUAACAUGCUUUCCAUAGUAAAACUAAUCCAAUUGUACAUUUACACAUGUUCUGGUUAAGCUGCUUUCUUGAGUAACAUUCACUAAAUCAUUUAUAUCUGAAGUUACGGAACUCUAAAUUAAGAUCCGUAAAUUUUCCCAGAAACUAUACUUAUAUAUCUUUCCACCAUAAAAUUUUCAGAAUUUUUGGUCCAGCCAAUAAGUACAGUUUAUUAUUCAAAUUCUCCCCUGUUUCGCUGUUUGACAGCUUCGACCUUUCUUCACUAAAAUAUAUUUAUCUCAUAGUACGAGACUCGGAUAAUGUUCCCUUUUGUUUCUAUUAAAAUUAGACUCAUCAAAUAUUCUAAGCAUAUAAAUUAUAACCAAUAAUUAUUUUUCUACAAUUUUUAACAAUUUUUCCAAGUCAAAACAGGGGAUCUCGAAUUCAUUAUGAGACUAUCUCACAAAAAUUAGAAUAUCACAUAAUAUACAACUCUUUUUCUCCCUCUGUUUCUUUUAUAUGAAAAUAGACUCAUUAAUCUUUAAUUCAUAAUUUAUUUGAAAUUUAAUUCAACUUACACAAUUUUUGGUGAAUUUUCAAAGUCUUACAACUGCUGCUGUCCAAUACUAUUUUACUACUAAAAUUCACUAUUACAUAAUUUCACUUAAUCCAUUUUGUCUUAUCGAAGUUCACUCAAAUAUCAAGCAUAUUGCUCAAAAUUUUCAUAAAUAUAUACCUGCACUUAUUCAUCACAUAAUCAUGUUCACAUGUAUUUUUACUUAAUCGAUUUUCCCGUUGAACUCUUCGGAAUAAUAACUUAUACUCAGUUGUCUACACAUAUUUUUACACUUGUAGCCAAAGCUAUCUGGUACGCAUAGUAGCUUGCACUUAGUACUACACACGUGACCUAACCAUCUACUACACGUAGUAGCCUGCACUUAGUACUACACACGUGAUCGAAGUUAUCGGGUACGCAUAGUAGCCUGCACUUAGUACUACACACGUGACCUCACAAUAGAUCAUUCGUAUCGUUUCUAUUCGGAAGGCUUGACCGGGAAAUUCCUCACUUUCCAACAUGUUACAAUUUAUUCAUAGUCCUUUUUCCAUUUGCAAUUUACAACAAAUAAUCAUUAUAUAGGCAGUCACAUUUCAUAUGAUAACAAAAUAUAAUAAAAUAAAAAAAAUCGAUAAAUUAUUUACGUACAAACUUACCUCGGAUCCAAAAAUGACAAUUUACCAUUCUAGUCCAUAACCUCAUAUUUUCCUGAUUUAAGCCCAAAUCUCGAUUUCCUUAAUCUAUAAUAUCACAUUUAGCCUACUAAUUAGUCACACUAUUCAUAUGGGUCUAAAAAUCAUAUUUUUAUAAAUUUUCAUUUGACCCCUAAACUUUUGCAUAUUUGCACUUUUUCCCCAAGGUUCGGAAAUUAAACUUCUUCCUAUUUUCUUAUGUUUUAUGACAUGGUGAUCAUUUUUCCCUUCUAUGGCAACAUCAAAUUCUCACUCUAACAUGUACUUAUGAACAUUAGGUAUUUUUAACGAUUAUACCGUUUUACUCGUUUUCACGUAAAAUCGCUUAGCAAAAGUUGUUUAACAUAAUUUCAAGCUUCAUAUUCUACCAUUAAACAUCAAAAUACAUGCAUAUCAUUUAUAGGUAAAUUUUUAAACAUAAAUCCUAGCUCAAAAUAAUGGUAGAAAUGAGCAGAUCGUUACCAGGAUUUCAAAAAUACAUAGAACAUUAAAAACGGAGCUCAGAAUCACUUACUAUUAAAGUUGGAAGCUUGGCCAAACCCUAACCAUGGCUGCUCUUGGUACAUUCUGCUGUAGUAAGA